GAUGAACGCUGGCGGCGUGCCUAAUACAUGCAAGUCGAGCGAACAGACGAGGAGCUUGCUCCUCUGACGUUAGCGGCGGACGGGUGAGCAACACGUGGAUAACCUACCUAUAAGACUGGGAUAACUUCGGGAAACCGGAGCUAAUACCGGAUAAUAUAUUGAACCGCAUGGUUCAAUAGUGAAAGACGGUUUUGCUGUCACUUAUAGAUGGAUCCGCGCCGCAUUAGCUAGUUGGUAAGGUAACGGCUUACCAAGGCAACGAUGCGUAGCCGACCUGAGAGGGUGAUCGGCCACACUGGAACUGAGACACGGUCCAGACUCCUACGGGAGGCAGCAGUAGGGAAUCUUCCGCAAUGGGCGAAAGCUUGACGGAGCAACGCCGCGUGAGUGAUGAAGGUCUUCGGAUCGUAAAACUCUGUUAUUAGGGAAGAACAAAUGUGUAAGUAACUAUGCACGUCUUGACGGUACCUAAUCAGAAAGCCACGGCUAACUACGUG
rnacentral:rRNA from 1 species